rnacentral:rRNA from 1 species
UUCAGAUUGAACGCUGGCGGCAUGCUUUACACAUGCAAAGUCGGACGGCAGCACAGAGAAGCUUGCUUCUUGGGUGGCGAGUGGCGAACGGGUGAGUAACAUAUCGGAACGUACCGAGCAGUGGGGGAUAACUAAUCGAAAGAUUAGCUAAUACCGCAUAUCUUCUGAGGAAGAAAGCAGGGGACCAUUUGGCCUUGCGCUGUUUGAGCGGCCGAUAUCUGAUUAGCUAGUUGGUGGGGUAAAGGCCUACCAAGGCGACGAUCAGUAGCGGGUCUGAGAGGAUGAUCCGCCACACUGGGACUGAGACACGGCCCAGACUCCUACGGGAGGCAGCAGUGGGGAAUUUUGGACAAUGGGCGCAAGCCUGAUCCAGCCAUGCCGCGUGUCUGAAGAAGGCCUUCGGGUUGUAAAGGACUUUUGUCAGGGAAGAAAAGGGCGGGGUUAAUACCCCUGUCUGAUGACGGUACC